rnacentral:rRNA from 1 species
CUUGGAGGAAUAUUGGACAAUGGGUUGAGAGCCUGAUCCAGCCAUCCCGCGUGAAGGACGACGGCCCUAUGGGUUGUAAACUUCUUUUGUAUAGGGAUAAACCUACCCUCGUGAGGGUAGCUGAAGGUACUAUACGAAUAAGCACCGGCUAACUCCUG